UUUCACAUUAUAAAAUAACAUAUCAUCAUUCUUUUUUAAGGGUUCAUUUGGCUAAUGAGCAAAUCCUCAUGCUAAAUACAGUGACUGGUUAAAACUGUGCCAUUUAAUUUAGUAAGUACCACUAGCCAAAUACAGCUAUUUAACUUUAAAUUAAUCAAAAUUAAAUUAAAUUAAAAAUUCAGCUCCUCCAUCGUAUAAACCACAUUUCAAGGGCUAAAAAGCCACAUAUGACUAGUGGCUACUAUACUGAAUAGUGCAGGCUAUCAAGCAUUUCUUUGAUCAUAGACAAUUCUAUUGGCAGCUCUGAGUUAGAAAGGAAUUCUCGAUUCUUGUGCCAGAUCAUACUUGGUAAUCUAUGAUAACACUCCUAGACCCAGCUGUGUUUCAGUUUGUCUGUGUAAUGGGAAAGGAUGCUGUCAACAAAGUAGAAAUUAUGUGGGCACUUUAAUGUAAUUGCUAAUUGAUGCUUUAUAAAUAGAACAAAGAAUAGUGUACAUUUAAAUACUAACGUGAAUCACCUUCCUCAUUUUAGGUAUAUUCCAUAGAACUCUAACAGUUUUAAACCUUAUCAUAUUUCCAACAACUUCUCUGUAAAAUGAGGCAAAAAGAAAUACUGAAAGGUUAUCGUUCAUCUUGUCAGAGAAUUAUAGACUACUGUAAAUAUGUAAAAUGUUCGAUAUUAACUAAAUGACCAAAGCUUUACAGAAUUAUAGACUACUGUAAAUAUGUAAAAUGUUCGAUAUUAACUAAAAAACCAAAGCAAAAGAAUAAUGAUAUCAUAUAUUUGUAUAUCACCUUUUUCCAAAUAUUCUCACAUGCAUUCUCUAAUUAAUAUUUGAAAUAACACUGUGAAGGAGCUAGGGGCAAGGUGUAUAUGUUAUCAUUCCUAUUUUACAUUCAAAGAGGUUGAGUUACUUAUUCAAGGUCAGAAGAUUUGAAUGUCAGCAAUAGAACCCAGGCUUUUGACUCUUAAGUUCACUUUUGAUUCUGUUUACCACCCCAUUUCCAGNGCUCUGGAGACUAGUAUUGCUCCUCUGUCUUCCACAGGGAAGAAUGAGACAUGCCCCUAAUCUUGGCAGAGCCCAUAUUCUGAUGGAGAAAGAGAGACACGUUGAUUACCAUCCUAUAGCAGAGAUGAGUGGUAGAGUUUAUUACAA
rnacentral:lncRNA from 1 species